rnacentral:rRNA from 1 species
CUUGCUCCCUGAUGUUAGCGGCGGACGGGUGAGUAACACGUGGGUAACCUGCCUGUAAGACUGGGAUAACUCCGGGAAACCGGGGCUAAUACCGGAUGGUUGUUUGAACCGCAUGGUUCAAACAUAAAAGGUGGCUUCGGCUACCACUUACAGAUGGACCCGCGGCGCAUUAGCUAGUUGGUGAGGUAACGGCUCACCAAGGCAACGAUGCGUAGCCGACCUGAGAGGGUGAUCGGCCACACUGGGACUGAGACACGGCCCAGACUCCUACGGGAGGCAGCAGUAGGGAAUCUUCCGCAAUGGACGAAAGUCUGACGGAGCAACGCCGCGUGAGUGAUGAAGGUUUUCGGAUCGUAAAGCUCUGUUGUUAGGGAAGAACAAGUACCGUUCGAAUAGGGCGGUACCUUGACGGUACCUAACCAGAAAGCCACGGCUAACUACGUGCCAGCAGCCGCGGUAAUACGUAGGUGGCAAGCGUUGUCCGGAAUUAUUGGGCGUAAAGGGCUCGCAGGCGGUUUCUUAAGUCUGAUGUGAAAGCCCCCGGCUCAACCGGGGAGGGUCAUUGGAAACUGGGGAACUUGAGUGCAGAAGAGGAGAGUGGAAUUCCACGUGUAGCGGUGAAAUGCGUAGAGAUGUGGAGGAACACCAGUGGCGAAGGCGACUCUCUGGUCUGUAACUGACGCUGAGGAGCGAAAGCGUGGGGAGCGAACAGGAUUAGAUACCCUGGUAGUCCACGCCGUAAACGAUGAGUGCUAAGUGUUAGGGGGU